rnacentral:rRNA from 1 species
GACGAACGCUGGCGGCGUGCUUAACACAUGCAAGUCGAACGUGAUUUUUGUGGAAAUUCUUUCGGGAAUGGAAAUGAAAUGAAAGUGGCGAACGGGUGAGUAACGCGUGAGCAACCUACCUUACACAGGGGGAUAGCCGUUGGAAACGACGAUUAAUACCGCAUGAGACCACAGAAUCGCAUGAUAUAGGGGUCAAAGAUUUAUCGGUGUAAGAAGGGCUCGCGUCUGAUUAGCUAGUUGGAAGGGUAAAGGCCUACCAAGGCGACGAUCAGUAGCCGGUCUGAGAGGAUGAACGGCCACAUUGGAACUGAGACACGGUCCAAACUCCUACGGGAGGCAGCAGUGGGGAAUAUUGCACAAUGGGGGGAACCCUGAUGCAGCGACGCCGCGUGAGCGAAGAAGGUUUUCGAAUCGUAAAGCUCUGUCCUAUGAGAAGAUAAUGACGGUAUCAUAGGAGGAAGCCCCGGCUAAAUACGUGCCAGCAGCCGCGGUAAUACGUAUGGGGCGAGCGUUGUCCGGAAUUAUUGGGCGUAAAGGGUACGUAGGCGGUUUUUUAAGUCAGGUGUGAAAGCGUGAGGCUUAACCUCAUUAAGCACUUGAAACUGGAAGACUUGAGUGAAGGAGAGGAAAGUGGAAUUCCUAGUGUAGCGGUGAAAUGCGUAGAUAUUAGGAGGAAUACCGGUGGCGAAGGCGACUUUCUGGACUUUUACUGACGCUCAGGUACGAAAGCGUGGGGAGCAAACAGG